rnacentral:lncRNA from 1 species
CACACACUUUGUUCAGCCAAGAUGGAUGCCAGCGAGAAGGAUUCUGGGAGGUGGUGGGACAGGUGGUGUCUCCUUUUGAGCUUGCCUGAAUUCUUCCGUUUGGUGGUGGCUUAUUAGUUCUGUGUUCCUUACCAGGACCUCGUGUCAUAAAACAACUGAUGUAAAUGGUUACUAUGGUGCCUGGCUAGGGUGGGCUGUUUCAUUCAGUGUGCUGCCCCUAAUAGUACCACAAAUUUUGGCAGCUUAAAAUAACCACAUAAUAUAAAGAAAGGCAUUAUUAGCUCUCAAUAAUAUGUGGGAACACAUUGAUAUAAAAUAUUCUGCUAACUGAGCUCACAUCUACAAACCUAAGGGGCUGUACCGCUGUUGGGACUGGAGUUCUCGGUCGUGCCCGGAAUCCCUCCUCAGUGAGAGCUUCUUUCAUCUUUCCUCGCAUCUGCAGUUCUCACCUCCCACCUUUGCAGGCACUGUGUAAUUAUCAUGUCCGUGGACCACUUUUCACUUCUCCAUCAGCUUUGACAAGAAGAUGGACCCUCUCGCUACAGACUACAUGUCAUUGUUCAUGAAGCACUUGCCCAAUAGGAACUUAAAUAUUAAUUGUGAAAAAGCUGCAUGGGAUCAUUCUCAUCAUAUAUUUCAAGUCUGCAGAAAAACAGUUCCUCUCUACAAAUAUUUCCAAUUUCAUUCAUCCUUUCAGUCAUUCGUUAUACCCUCAAACCUGUAUUGUUUUUACCUGAUUUGAAGAUCUUUCAUGGAUGCAUGAGGCAGGAGAUGAAGAGAGGAGAAAAGAGAGAAAGAGAGAGCCACUUCAUAACCUUGGG